GUCUGUGGCCAUACCACCCUGAAAGCUCCUGUCUCAUCUAAUCUCAGAAGCUAAGCAGGACUGGGCCUGGUUAGUACUUAGUACUUGGAUGGGAGAAUCUACUUUUUGGGAUUCAUAAACA
rnacentral:rRNA from 1 species